rnacentral:lncRNA from 1 species
ACAUUUGAGGUUCUUCUCAAGGUUAUUAACUUUGGGUUUUGUUUUAACACUGGAGCCUAUUGUCGAGAAAUAUGGAAUUGCUUUGAUUUAUUUAUUCUACUAGCUAACAUUACGUCAGUAAUUUUAAGCUUGAGUGAGACAAAAAGUGGUGUGAAAUCGUUUUUAAAAAUUUUACGUUUUCUUCGGGCUUUUCGUUGUUUAAGAUCAGUUA